GUAGGGAAUCUUCCACAAUGGACGCAAGUCUGAUGGAGCAACGCCGCGUGAGUGAAGAAGGUUUUCGGAUCGUAAAGCUCUGUUGUUGGUGAAGAAGGAUAGAGGCAGUAACUGGUCUUUAUUUGACGGUAAUCAACCAGAAAGUCACGGCUAACUACGUGCCAGCAGCCGCGGUAAUACGUAGGUGGCAAGCGUUGUCCGGAUUUAUUGGGCGUAAAGCGAGCGCAGGCGGAAUGAUAAGUCUGAUGUGAAAGCCCACGGCUCAACCGUGGAACUGCAUCGGAAACUGUCAUUCUUGAGUGCAGAAGAGGAGAGUGGAACUCCAUGUGUAGCGGUGGAAUGCGUAGAUAUAUGGAAGAACACCAGUGGCGAAGGCGGCUCUCUGGUCUGCAACUGACGCUGAGGCUCGAAAGCAUGGGUAGCGAACAGGAUUAGAUACCCUUGUAGUCC
rnacentral:rRNA from 1 species